AUGCACGCUAGCUACAGGCUUAACACAUGCCAGUCGCAGGGUAACAUGAGGAAAGCUUGCUUUCCUUGAUGACGACUGGCGCACGGGUGAGUAACGCGUAUCCAACCUUCCCAUAACUACGGGAUAACCCGUUGAAAGACGGCCUAAUACCGUAUGAUAUCGUUUGCUGACAUCAAAUAACGAUUAAAGGUUUAGCGGUUAUGGAUGGGGAUGCGUCUGAUUAGCUUGUUGGCGGGGUAACGGCCCACCAAGGCGACGAUCAGUAGGGGUUCUGAGAGGAAGGUCCCCCACAUUGGAACUGAGACACGGUCCAAACUCCUACGGGAGGCAGCAGUGAGGAAUAUUGAUCAAUGGGCGAGAGCCUGAACCAGCCAAGUAGCGUGCAGGACGACGGCCCUAUGGGUUGUAAACUGCUUUUAUGUGGGGAUAAAGUGCGUGACGUGUCAUGCAUUGCAGGUACCACAUGAAUAAGGACCGGCUAAUUCCGUG
rnacentral:rRNA from 1 species